rnacentral:lncRNA from 1 species
UUUUUCUUUCUUUAUCUUAUCUGAUUGAUUUUCUUUUAUUUUCUCUCUUCUUCCUUGAAUUCUUUUUCUUCUUUUUGAUAACUCUUGAGUAUUUCCUUUUAUUUCGUGCAUAUUGUUGCUAUUGGAUUGCAAGUUGUUUGCAGUGUAAUUUUCCCUUUAAUUACUUUUUCUGAAGCUCUAUUCUUAGUUCGUUCUUUGGAACAAUAUAGGGUUAUGUUAAUGUUAAAUCUUUAUUCUCAAAGGCAUUAAAUGUUCUUGUGUUAUGGUUAGGCGAAAGAUGCGAAAAUCAAGUUCCACCAGUGAAGUGAUUCUCGUUUUGGACACUAUUUUUUGAAUGGUAAGUACUCGAAUCUCGCAUUGAGGGGCUAAAAUUUUGAUAAAAAGAAGCUAUGUUGAAUAGGUUUUUUUUAUGAUUAGUUGGUAUGAUUUGAUGGUUGAAUAUAUGUAUUGUGAGUUUCUUAGUUGUGUGGUCAAUCAAAUAAGCAACAGUGUGUGUGAAACAAAUCUGAAACUUAGUCUGAAACUUGAAAAAAUUAAAAAACUAGGGUUGUUUUCAAAGCUGCCUAGCAUCACACGGCUGUGUGACAGGCUGUGUAUGCCACACGACAAUGCGGUAGGCCGUGUGGAGCAUACGACUGUGUGUGAUUACAGGACCAAUUUUAAAUCCCGAUUAAGGAACACGAUACAUUCGGUCCGUGAGCAUAAUACAGGCCCAGAAAAUCAUAAGUUUUAGUGCAUACACAUAGGUAAGCUUAGGGUGCAUGAUAAGUAAGUUUUUUUUUGUAAAAAUCUUGUGCUGAAUUAUGUUCCGUAAAAUAUAUGUGUAGGUAUGCAUCUCAUGCAAUAUAUGAUAUAUGUAUGUAUGCUAUUAUGUUAUGCAGUUGCAUUAGGGGUAGGUUAUGAUAUGAUGAAAGAAGUGUAAUAUGGUUGUUAUUACUGCAAUUAUGGCAACUAGACUGUAAAUUUUAGUUUCGCAGCUCAGCUGCAUAUUUAUAAGUGGCAUAUUGCCAUAUAUCAUUGUGAUUGGAUGGAUUGACUCUUAUUGUCCUAAUUGGUGUGAUUGGUUGGACGGAGAUGGUGUGUAGCCGAUGAGAGUAGGAUAUGUUCUGAUAUGUUAUAUGAUAUGCUCCGAUAUGUUAUAUGAUAUGCUCCAAUAUGUUAUAUAACAUUCUCUGAUAUGUUAUAUAAUAAAAAAUUUUGAUCUGAUUAUUUGUAUAUGCAAAUCCCAUAUGUAAAUUAUGUUUGUGGGCCAAGUCACAUACUAGGCUUCUAGUUCACUCAUUUGUCUAGUUUCAUUUUAGGUGAUCCUCAAGCUUAGGUUUGGACGGCGACUCUGGAGCUUGGUUUGCACAUUGUGGUUAAGUAUGUUUUGGACUUUUUAUGGGCUUUUCGGGCUUUUGGAAAUUUAAUUCUAUUUGGGACUUUAAAAAUCAUUUUGGUAUUGGUUUUGAAAAAUAUCUUAAUUUUAAGCGGUAUUUUAAUCAAGACAACAUCACCAAA